rnacentral:lncRNA from 1 species
UUUGACUCUGUAGGUACAAAACUCAAAAUUCUCCUUCUCCUUCUCUUCUUCUCUCUUUCUCGACUGCGCCACCUCCCUCCCUCCUAUUUUUUCCAUUUCCGCCGCCCUUCACCACCUGCCACCGAGAAAGCACCUCCCCCCUUCUUCCUUUUAAACUGACGCCACUCUCUUUCCUUCCUCUCGUCGGAUUUCGCUUCAGCAAGGAGGAGGAAGCGUCCUCUUCGCUGCCACCGCUAGAACGACCACCUACUGCCGUCCUUUCGCCAAUCUGAUGCCAGAAUCGUGCUCCCUACCGUCGAAAACCUCUAAGUCAACCUUUCUCGCUGCUUGUCCUCUACCGGCAGUAGUGUGUGAGCCUCCCCAUUCAUCCGAAGUAGUAUUUUAGUAUAGAACAGAGGCAUUCUGAGCCGACUACUAUGACUACAUGCGCAUAUAGUGCAGUGGCUUGGAAGCAAGCUACCUUGACCAUCUUCUGAAGUUUUAAAUAAUCUACUGAUCAAAGGCUGUAGGGGCGGACUACUCUACAUUCAGCCAAGCCAUAGUGACCCCCGAAGCGAUCUCCGCCAGAGAGAGUAGAGAAUUGGAGAAGUGACUCGUCUACGAAGCUUUGCUUCUUGUAGUCGGCCCGUAAUGCCUCCGCUUGCUUCCUUCCAGCUCAGAAUGCUUGGCCCCUCGCGCCAAGUCGAUCUCUUUUUUAGGCUUGGCUUCUUCCAAUGCGCGGAGCCCAAACGAGGAAGGAAGGUGUUAGUGGUUUCUCAUUGGGUCAAUAAUGCUAAUCCCUCUUUUUGUGCUACUUCUAGGGCGGGGAGAAGAUAAGAGAACACGUCGGAGCCGAAACUUUUCAGCCUCAAUCCGGUGGAUUCCCCGAGUUUCUGGCAGAAACAUUUGCAUAUUCGGACUUCCCGUGGCUCAAGCUUCACGUAAGCGUCUCUAGGUUUGAAAUAUGAAUACCAUUGUUUUCUGAACGCGCAGAAUUUCGAGUUUUCGUCUCAGUAUAAUUUUCUUGGACCUAGAAAGAUCGUUAGUUAUUAAUAAUUAAUUAAAUUAUUUAAUUAAUUAGUAGUUUGAUCCUAGAAAUACUACAUAUUAAAUUAUAGAAGAAAUUAUUAUUUUAUUAUGUAAAUUGAGGCUGUGAUUAAUUAAAUUUAAUACGAGGAAAAUAUUUGAGUAUUGUAUCGUAGAAUAAUAUUAUUUUGCCGGAUUAUUAAUUAUUAUAUUAUGAUCUGGAUUGUGUUGUGAAGUCGGAAAAAUAAUGCAAUUUUGGUAGCCCAACUCUCGUUAAAUAAUUAUGGAAUAUUUGAAGUGUUUUUAACAGGUUCUGGACCCGUUAAACGGAGGGUAAACGUCCAUAUUUUAUGGAAGGUUUUGCCAAAUUUUUGAUAGAAUUCUCGAGUUGAGAUCGGUCGAAAUUUCUUAGGCAGUCUAACCUAGAAAUCUAGGCCUAGGAAAAAUUAUGAAUAUUUUAUUAAUUUAAUUCUUUUUGUGAAUAAAUAAUUCAUCAAUCUAGCCAGCUUACACCCGAGACGUAAGAGCAAGCAGUGGAACUCGGCAGAACUGUGAGUUAGAAUUAUAUAUUCUACCAUAAUGUAUCAUACUUGCAUUUAAAUGAAAUUCUUAAAUAAUUAAUUAAUAUGGUUAUUUAGUAGUAUAAGUAUAAUUAAACUUAUUUUUAUUUUCAUUACUAUUAAUAUUAUUAAUAUUGAAAUAAUUGUUAUUGUUAUUAUUAUUAUUCUUAUUAUUAUUACUGUUUGUGUAAUUACAUUUAUUAUCAUCUCAGUCAUUAUUGUUAUUAUUAUUAUUUAUUAUUAUCGUUAUUGUUGUUGUUGUUUAAAUAUUAUUAAUAUUAUAAAUUUGUGUGCAUCAUGUUACUUUAAUUUUUAUUAAUGUUAAAUACAUAUUAUGGCUCACGACGAGGCAACAGUAGAACAUGCCACCUCAAGGGAUACAUUAGGACUGCCUGCAGAUCGGUGGAAAUUAGAGUCAGGUAAUAGAGGUAUAUUCGGUGAUGUGCCCUGGUCGAGCACACAAUUUGUGCCUAUGAAGUUUGAAUUUCUAGAGAAAGGUUCCUAGUCGAGCGUUGCUCUCUAGGCGCCGGCUAUAUUAGUAUUUAAGUGACCAUACUGAACUGAAGAACUGUGGUCAAACUUUGUUCUCUGGGCGCUAGUCUUAUUGGAUUAAGAGAGCAGAAAGGCUGCUAGAGUUGAAGGUUUAGGGUUCUACUGAAAUACUCGUCCUCCGUGUGUGUUAAAAUUGCAUGUUCUUUUAAAAUUACGAUGACACAUUUGUUAUUUGUGAUAUUCUUUAUCAUUAAAUAAUUAUUUUAUAUUUAUGGUUGCUUAAAUUUAGGAUAUAUGAUUUUAACUUACUCUCGAGACUAACAGUCUCAAUUUUAAAUUUUUUAGAUGAUAGCGAGGUUCUCUGAUACAAACAUGGUUAACUUGUACCAAAUCCGUAUUCAAUGUUAAUAUUGUCACCAAGGAUAGUUCACCUAAUCAAGC